AAUCAUUAGAUUAUAAAUAUGUUUUGUUUAAAAACAUGGUCUGCUGUUUUGUUUUGUAAACUCUACAAAGAAAAACAUACCUUAUUAUAAUUUUUGGUUAACUGAAUUGUCAAGAAUAAGCAAGUGUGUGUUAAUAUUCAU